UGGGGAAUUUUGGACAAUGGGGGAAACCCUGAUCCAGCCAUCCCGCGUGUGCGAUGAAGGCCUUCGGGUUGUAAAGCACUUUUGGCAGGAAAGAAACGUCGCGGGUUAAUACCCGCGAACAUGACGGUACCUGCAGAAUAAGCACCGGCUAACUACGUGCCAGCAGCCGCGGUAAUACGUAGGGUGCAAGCGUUAAUCGGAAUUACUGGGCGUAAAGCGUGCGCAGGCGGUUCGGAAAGAAAGAUGUGAAAUCCCAGAGCUUAACUUUGGAACUGCAUUUUUAACUACCGGGCUAGAGUGUGUCAGAGGGAGGUGGAAUUCCGCGUGUAGCAGUGAAAAUGCGUAGAUAUGCGGAGGAACACCGAUGGCGAAGGCAGCCUCCUGGGAUAACACUGACGCUCAUGCACGAAAAGCGUGGGGAGCAAACAGGAUUAGAUACCCUGGUAG
rnacentral:rRNA from 1 species